AUACGGGAGGCAGCAGUGGGGAAUAUUGGACAAUGGGGGCAACCCUGAUCCAGCAAUGCCGCGUGUGUGAAGAAGGCCUUCGGGUUGUAAAGCACUUUUAUCCGGAACGAAACGUGUCGGGUUAACAACCCGGCAAACUGACGGUACCGGAGGAAUAAGCACCGGCUAACUUCGUGCCAGCAGCCGCGGUAAUACGAAGGGUGCAAGCGUUACUCGGAAUUACUGGGCGUAAAGGGUGCGUAGGUGGUUUUUUAAGUCUGCUGUGAAAUCCCCGGGCUCAACCUGGGAAUGGCAGUGGAUACUGGAAAGCUAGAGUGCGGUAGAGGGUAGUGGAAUUCCCGGUGUAGCAGUGAAAUGCGUAGAGAUCGGGAGGAACACCAGUGGCGAAGGCGGCUACCUGGACCAGCACUGACACUGAGGCACGAAAGCGUGGGGAGCAAACAGGAUUAGAUACCCUGGUAGU
rnacentral:rRNA from 1 species